UUUUUAAUGAGAGUUUGAUCCUGGCUCAGGACGAACGCUGGCGGCGUGCCUAAUACAUGCAAGUAGAACGCUGAAGAGAGGAGCUUGCUCUUCUUGGAUGAGUUGCGAACGGGUGAGUAACGCGUAGGUAACCUGCCUUGUAGCGGGGGAUAACUAUUGGAAACGAUAGCUAAUACC
rnacentral:rRNA from 1 species